ensembl:lncRNA
GGAGGGCAUCGUAGUGACCAAGCCCUUUCAGAUUGUGACUCGCUGGUCCUGGGCCCACCCUGUCCCACCUCUCAAAGACCUGUGUGGGGAGAAGUUGAAGAAUCAAGUUGGGUCUCACAGGAUGACCUGCCAAACAGGACGUGACCAGCAAUGGCCCCAGCCUUUGACCAGGGUUCCAUCUUCUUAUAGAAUAUUCUUCCCACUCUUGUUAUCACGAGUGAGGCCUGAUCCGUACUGGCUGUCCAUCCUCCCAAAGCCUUGACCUAUGUAACAAAGAAUUUCGUUUCCACUGGUCAGCCAACUUGAAAAUGAGUUGCCAGCCUAAUUCACGAUCCAGCCUUAGUUCAUGAUUCUUUUUUGAUGAGAACAGAUCCUUAUGUUUGUACUUGUUUUAGAGGGGUUUUUUUUUUUCCCCUUAAGUUGCUUCUCUUUUUAAGCACAUAAAAUGUAUUUCAACACAAGAAGUAUAAUCAAGGGCUACAUAAUGUUCCAGCUAAGUUUCUCUUUUGAAGUGAUAACCCAGCAUUGCUACACAGAACUGACUGCAUGGCAGAGUAAAUGAUGUUCCUCGUGGCCCAGCCGUGUCAGUCUCCAGCCUAAGCAUGUACGCUGGCCCGAACACACAUCACCACUGACAAACAGCUGCCAAGAUCGAGAGUACCCCAGUAAGUGGUAGGAUCCUUGUAGCAACAAAGCUGGUGCCAAUAGAUGGAAGUGAUGGAAUCAGCGGUCAUUAAAUGUGCCUCCACUAAGAACACUUCAAUUCUCCAUCCUAGUAUAUCAUAAAGAAGACGGAUGUAUCUCUUCGACAUGGAUGUACAGAACAGACUUUUGGACUCUGUGGGAGAGGGUUAGGUGGGAUGAUUUGGAAGAAUGGCAUUGAAACAUGUAUACUAUCAUGUAAGAAACGAAUGGCCAGUCUAGGUUCGAUACAGGAUACAGGAUGCUUGGGGCUGGUGCCCUGGGAUGACCCAG